UACGUAGGGUGCAAGCAUUAUCCGGAGUGACUGGGCGUAAAGAGUUGCGUAGGCGGUUAGUAAAGUGAAUAGUGAAAUCUGGUGGCUCAACCACACAGGCUAUUAUUCAAACUCACUAACUCGAGAGUGAUAGAGGUAACUGGAAUUUCUAGUGUAGGAGUGAAAUCCGUAGAUAUAGGGAGGAAUACCAGUGGCGAAGGCGGCCCCCUGGCACAACACUGACGCUCAGGUGCGAAAGCGUGGGGAGCAAACAGG
rnacentral:rRNA from 1 species